UACGGGGGGGGCAAGCGUUGUUCGGAAUUACUGGGCGUAAAGGGCUCGUAGGCGGCCAACUAAGUCAGACGUGAAAUCCCUCGGCUUAACCGGGGAACUGCGUCUGAUACUGGAUGGCUUGAGGUUGGGAGAGGGAUGCGGAAUUCCAGGUGUAGCGGUGAAAUGCGUAGAUAUCUGGAGGAACACCGGUGGCGAAGGCGGCAUUCUGGACCGACAUUGACGCUGAGGAGCGAAAGCCAGGGGAGCAAACGGG
rnacentral:rRNA from 1 species